rnacentral:tRNA from 1 species
GCGCCCGUAGCGUAGCUGGAUAACGCACAGCCCUCCGAAGGCUGGGAUCGGGGGUUCGAAUCCCUCCGGGCGCG